rnacentral:rRNA from 1 species
UGGGGAAUAUUGCGCAAUGGGCGAAAGCCUGACGCAGCGACGCCGCGUGGGGGAUGAAGGCCUUCGGGUUGUAAACCCCUUUCAGCAGGGACGAAGCGAAAGUGACGGUACCUGCAGAAGAAGCGCCGGCUAACUACGUGCCAGCAGCCGCGGUAAUACGUAGGGCGCAAGCGUUGUCCGGAAUUAUUGGGCGUAAAGAGCUCGUAGGCGGUCUGUUGCGUCCGCUGUGAAAACCCAGGGCUUAACCCUGGGCUUGCAGUGGAUACGGGCAGACUAGAGGCAGGUAGGGGAGAAUGGAAUUCCCGGUGUAGCGGUGAAAUGCGCAGAUAUCGGGAGGAACACCGGUGGCGAAGGCGGUUCUCUGGGCCUGACCUGACGCUGAGGAGCGAAAGCGUGGGGAGCGAACAGGAUUAGAUACCCUGGUAGUCCACGCCGUAAACGUUGGGCGCUAGGUGUGGGGUCCUUCCACGGAUUCCGUGCCGCAGCUAACGCAUUAAGCGCCCCGCCUGGGGAGUACGGCCGCAAGGCUAA